CCUACGGGUGGCAGCAGUGGGGAAUAUUGCGCAAUGGGCGAAAGCCUGACGCAGCGACGCCGCGUGAGGGAUGAAGGUCUUCGGAUCGUAAACCUCUGUCAGCAGGGAAGAACGGUCACUGUGCUAAUCAGCAGUGAAUUGACGGUACCUGCAAAGGAAGCACCGGCUAACUCCGUGCCAGCAGCCGCGGUAAUACGGAGGGUGCGAGCGUUAAUCGGAAUUACUGGGCGUAAAGCGCUCGUAGGCGGUAUGUCAAGUCAAGGGUGAAAUCCCCGGGCUCAACGUGGGAACUGCCUUUGAAACUGGCAAACUGGAGUAGGUGAGAGGAUAGUGGAAUUCCAGGUGUAGGAGUGAAAUGCGUAGAUAUCUGGAGGAACAUCAGUGGCGAAGGCGACUAUCUGGCACAUAACUGACGCUGAGGAGCGAAAGCGUGGGUAGCAAACAGGAUUAGAUACCCUUGUAGUC
rnacentral:rRNA from 1 species